UGGGCGUAAAGAGCUCGUAGGCGGUUUGUCACGUCUGCUGUGAAAAUCCAAGGCUCAACCUUGGACUUGCAGUGGGUACGGGCAGGCUAGAGUGCGGUAGGGGAGAUGGGAAUUCCUGGUGUAGCGGUGGAAUGCGCAGAUAUCAGGAGGAACACCAAUGGCGAAGGCACAUCUCUGGGCCGUAACUGACGCUGAGGAGCGAAAGCGUGGGGAGCGAACAGGAUUAGAUACCCUGGUAGUCCACGCCGUAAACGGUGGGUGCUAGCUGUGGGCCACAUUCCACGUGGUCCGUGACGAAGUUAACACAUUAAGCACCCCGCCUGGGGAGUACGGCCGCAAGGCUAAAACUCAAAGGAAUUGACGGGGGCCCGCACAAGCGGCGGAGCAUGCGGAUUAAUUCGAUGCAACGCGAAGAACCUUACCAAGGCUUGACAUAUAGAGGAAAAGUGCAGAAAUGCACUCCCCGCAAGGUCUCUAUACAGGUGGUGCAUGGUUGUCGUCAGCUCGUGUCGUGAGAUGUUGGGUUAAGUCCCGCAACGAGCGCAACCCUCGUCCUAUGUUGCCAGCACGUAAUGGUGGGAACUCAUGGGAUACUGCCGGGGUCAACUCGGAGGAAGGUGGGGAUGACGUCAAAUCAUCAUGCCCCUUAUGUCUUGGGCUUCACGCAUGCUACAAUGGCCGGUACAGAGGGCUGCAAUACCGCAAGGUGGAGCGAAUCCCAAAAAGCCGGUCUCAGUUCGGAUUGAGGUCUGCAACUCGACCUCAUGAAGUCGGAGUCGCUAGUAAUCGUAGAUCAGCAACGCUACGGUGAAUACGUUCCCGGGCCUUGUACACACCGCCCGUCAAGUCACGAAAGUUGAUAACACCCGAAGCCGGUGGCCUAACCGCAAGGA
rnacentral:rRNA from 1 species